rnacentral:tRNA from 3 species
GCUCUGAUCGAUUAGUUGGUUAAAUCAGAGGUCUCAUAAUCCUCAGCCCACAGUUCGAAUCUGUGUCAGAGCA